GAUGAAGAACGUAGCGAAAUGCGAUAAGUAAUGCGAAUUGCAGAAUUCAGUGAGUCAUCGAAUCUUUGAACGCACAUUGCGCCCUGUGGUAUUCCGCAGGGCAUGCCUGUUCGAGCGUCAUUUCAACCCUCAAGCUCUGCUUGGUGUUGGGCCCUGCCCGCUGCGGCCGGCCCUAAAGACAGUGGCGGUGCCGCCUGGCCCUGAGCGUAGUACAUCUCUCGCUCCAGUGCCCGGUGGUAGCCUGCCAGAACCCCAACUCUCGUGGUUGACCUCGGAUCAGGUAGGGAUACCCGCUGAACUUAAGCAUAUCAAUAAGCGGAGGA
rnacentral:misc_RNA from 1 species